rnacentral:rRNA from 1 species
GGAAUUUUGGACAAUGGGCGCAAGCCUGAUCCAGCAAUGCCGCGUGAGUGAAGAAGGCCUUCGGGUUGUAAAGCUCUUUUGUCAGGGAAGAAACGGUGUUUUCUAAUACAGAGCGCUAAUGACGGUACCUGAAGAAUAAGCACCGGCUAACUACGUGCCAGCAGCCGCGGUAAUACGUAGGGUGCAAGCGUUAAUCGGAAUUACUGGGCGUAAAGCGUGCGCAGGCGGUUUUGUAAGACUGUCGUGAAAUCCCCGGGCUCAACCUGGGAAUGGCGAUGGUGACUGCAAGGCUAGAGUUUGGCAGAGGGGGGUAGAAUUCCACGUGUAGCAGUGAAAUGCGUAGAUAUGUGGAGGAACACCGAUGGCGAAGGCAGCCCCCUGGGUCAAAACUGACGCUCAUGCACGAAAGCGUGGGGAGCAAACAGGAUUAGAUACCCGGG